CUCCUACGGGAGGCAGCAGUGGGGAAUCUUGCACAAUGGGCGAAAGCCUGAUGCAGCCAUGCCGCGUGAAUGAUGAAGGCCCUAGGGUUGUAAAAUUCUUUCAUCAGGGACGAUAAUGACGGUACCUGAAGAAGAAGCCCCGGCUAACUUCGUGCCAGCAGCCGCGGUAAUACGAAGGGGGCUAGCGUUGUUCGGAAUUACUGGGCGUAAAGCGCGCGUAGGCGGACUAUUAAGCCAGAUGUGAAAUCCCGGGGCUCAACCUCGGAACUGCAUUUGGAACUGGUAGUCUAGAGGCCAGGAGAGGUUAGUGGAAUGCCGAGUGUAGAGGUGAAAUUCGUAGAUAUUCGGUGGAACACCAGUGGCGAAGGCGACUGACUGGACUGGUACUGACGCUGAGGUGCGAAAGUGUGGGGAGCAUACAGGAUUAGAUACCCUGGUAGUCCACACCGUAAACGAUGAGUGCUAGUUGUCGGCAGGCAUGCCUGUCGGUGACGCAGCUAACGCAUUAAGCACUCCGCCUGGGGAGUACGGCCGCAAGGUUAAAACUCAAAGAAAUUGACGGGGGCCCGCACAAGCGGUGGAGCAUGUGGUUUAAUUCGAAGCAACGCGCAGAACCUUACCUACCCUUGACAUGCCCGGUUUGGUCGCCAGAGAUGGCUUCCUUGAUUCGUUCGCCGGUGCACAGGUGCUGCAUGGCUGUCGUCAGCUCGUGUCGUGAGAUGUUGGGUUAAGUCCCGCAACGAGCGCAACUCUCAUCCUUAGUUGCCAUCAGGUUUGGCUGGGCACUCUAAGGAAACUGCCGGUGGCAAGCCGGAGGAAGGUGGGGAUGACGUCAAGUCCUCAUGGCCCUUACGGGUAGGGCUACACACGUGCUACAAUGGCAGUGACAAUGGGAUAAUCCCCAAAAACUGUCUCAGUUCGGAUUGUCGUCUGCAACUCGACGGCAUGAAGUUGGAAUCGCUAAUAAUCGUGGACCAGCAUGCCACGGUGAAUACGUUCCCGGGCAUUGUACACACCGCCCGUCACAUCAUGGGAGUUGGUUCUACCCUGAAGACCGUGCGCUAACUUCGGAGGCAGCGGC
rnacentral:rRNA from 1 species